CAGCCGCCGCGGUAAUACCAGCACCUCGAGUGGUCAGGAGGUUUAUUGGGCCUAAAGCAUCCGUAGCUGGUUGCAUAAGUUUUCGGUUAAAUCUAUGCGCUUAACGUAUAGGCCGCCGAAAAUACUGUGCAGCUAGGGAGUGGGAGAGGUACACGGUACUCGAUAGGAAGGGGUAAAAUCCUUUGAUCUAUUGACGACCACCUGUGGCGAAGGCGGUGUACCAGAACACGUUCGACGGUGAGGGAUGAAAGCUGGGGGAGCAAACAGGAUUAGAUACCCCUGUAGUCCCUGUCUCUUAUAC
rnacentral:rRNA from 1 species